UGGGGAAUAUUGGACAAUGGGGGGCAACCCUGAUCCAGCAAUGCCGCGUGUGUGAAGAAGGUCUUCGGAUUGUAAAGCACUUUCGACGGGGACGAUGAUGACGGUACCCGUAGAAGAAGCCCCGGCUAACUUCGUGCCAGCAGCCGCGGUAAUACGAAGGGGGCUAGCGUUGCUCGGAAUGACUGGGCGUAAAGGGCGUGUAGGCGGUUUACACAGUCAGAUGUGAAAUCCCCGGGCUUAACCUGGGAGCUGCAUUUGAUACGUGUAGACUAGAGUGUGAGAGAGGGUUGUGGAAUUCC
rnacentral:rRNA from 1 species